rnacentral:rRNA from 1 species
AUUGAACGCUGGCGGCAGGCCUAACACAUGCAAGUCGAACGGUAGCACAGGAGAGCUUGCUCUCUGAGUGACGAGUGGCGGACGGGUGAGUAAUGCAUGGGGAGCUGCCCAAUCGAGGGGGAUACCAGCUGGAAACGGCUGCUAAUACCGCAUACGCCCUGAGGGGGAAAGUGGGGACCUUCGGGCCUACCGCGAUUGGAUGCACCCAUGUGGGAUUAGCUAGUUGGUGAGGUAACGGCUCACCAAGGCGACGAUCUCUAGCUGGUCUGAGAGGAUGACCAGCCACACUGGAACUGAGACACGGUCCAGACUCCUACGGGAGGCAGCAGUGGGGAAUAUUGCACAAUGGGGGAAACCCUGAUGCAGCCAUGCCGCGUGUGUGAAGAAGG